rnacentral:rRNA from 1 species
GUGGGGAAUCUUGCGCAAUGGGCGAUAGCCUGACGCAGCCAUGCCGCGUGAAUGAUGAAGGUCUUAGGAUUGUAAAAUUCUUUCACCGGGGACGAUAAUGACGGUACCCGGAGAAGAAGCCCCGGCUAACUUCGUGCCAGCAGCCGCGGUAAUACGAAGGGGGCUAGCGUUGCUCGGAAUUACUGGGCGUAAAGGGCGCGUAGGCGGACAGCUUAGUCAGAGGUGAAAGCCCAGGGCUCAACCUUGGAAUUGCCUUUGAUACUGGCUGUCUUGAGUUUGGGAGAGGUGAGUGGAACUCCGAGUGUAGAGGUGAAAUUCGUAGAUAUUCGGAAGAACACCAGUGGCGAAGGCGACUCACUGGCCCAAUACUGACGCUGAGGCGCGAAAGCGUGGGGAGCAAACAGGAUUAGAAACCCGUGUAGUCC